CCUACGGGGGGCAGCAGUGGGGAAUAUUGGACAAUGGGCGAAAGCCUGAUCCAGCCAUGCCGCGUGUGUGAAGAAGGCCUUCGGGUUGUAAAGCACUUUCAGUGGGGAAGAAAGCCUUGGGGCUAAUACCCUCGAGGAAGGACAUCACCCACAGAAGAAGCACCGGCUAACUCCGUGCCAGCAGCCGCGGUAAUACGGAGGGUGCGAGCGUUAAUCGGAAUUACUGGGCGUAAAGCGCGCGUAGGCGGUCUGAUAAGCCGGUUGUGAAAGCCCCGGGCUCAACCUGGGAACGGCAGCCGGAACUGUCAGGCUAGAGUGCAGGAGAGGAAGGUAGAAUUCCCGGUGUAGCGGUGAAAUGCGUAGAGAUCGGGAGGAAUACCAGUGGCGAAGGCGGCCUUCUGGACUGACACUGACGCUGAGGUGCGAAAGCGUGGGUAGCAAACAGGAUUAGAUACCCCGGUAGUC
rnacentral:rRNA from 1 species